AGUCAUACGCUCGUCUCAAAGAUUAAGCCAUGCAUGUGUAAGUAUAAAUAUAUUACUUUGAAACUGCGAACGGCUCAUUAUAUCAGUUAUAGUUUCUUUGAUAGUCCCUUACUAUUUGGAUACCCGUAGUAAUUCUAGAGCUAAUACAUGCGUAAACACUCAACUUUUGGAAGAGUGGUAUUUAUUAGAUUGAAACCAACUCGUUUCGGCGAUGUAAUGGUGAUUCAUAAUAACUUUGCGAAUCGCACGGCUUCUGCCGGCGAUGGAUCAUUCAAGUUUCUGCCCUAUCAGCUUGGAUGGUAGUGUAUUGGACUACCAUGGCUUUAACGGGUAACGGGGG
rnacentral:rRNA from 1 species